rnacentral:rRNA from 1 species
ACGAACGCUGGCGGCGUGCUUAACACAUGCAAGUCGAACGGAAAGGCCCUGCUUUUGUGGGGUGCUCGAGUGGCGAACGGGGGAGUAACACGUGAGUAACCUGCCCUUGACUUUGGGAUAACUUCAGGAAACUGGGGCUAAUACCGGAUAGGAGCUCCUGCUGCAUGGUGGGGGUUGGAAAGUUUCGGCGGUUGGGGAUGGACUCGCGGCUUAUCAGCUUGUUGGUGGGGUAGUGGCUUACCAAGGCUUUGACGGGUAGCCGGCCUGAGAGGGUGACCGGCCACAUUGGGACUGCGAUACGGCCCAGACUCCUACGGGCGGCAGCAGUGGGGAAUAUUGCACAAUGGGCGGAAGCCUGAUGCAGCAACGCCGCGUGCGGGAUGACGGCCUUCGGGUUGUAAACCGCUUUCGCCUGUGACGAAGCGUGAGUGACGGUAAUGGGUAAAGAAGCACCGGCUAACUACGUG